GAAGGCGCAGGCGCAGGCGCAGCCAGGGGGCCGGAAGCAGGUGCCACACCGUGGGCAUGCGCCUCACGCCCCCACCCCGAAUGCCUCUCUUCGAUUGGUUGAGUUCUUGGCUCUGACCUGGACGGUGGCCAGAGCAGGACAAGUGGCUUCCAUACUUAACGGGAGCGCUGAUGCGGGAGGCCUGGAGAUUGUACAACCUCUAGUCCACCGGCGGCCAGACUUGGGGACGUGACGCUGCUGGUGGCGGCGGAGAGGAACCAGUAGCAGCGUCUCCAAGCCUGCUGAUGGCGCUGAGAUCCUGCUGCUUUCUGCCUCAGUGCUAAUUAAUAUCCUGGACGUUAUCAAGAAGAUAUGAGAGAUGACAUCAAAUUCUGGUGAAGAAGGAAGAGCUAGCACAUGGAGGGAUCAGUGUUUCACAGUAGUUUUGAAAGAGGGUGGUGACAGAAGGGAAAAGAGGUUAUCUGGAGGGGAUUCAGAAUUGGCAGUGAGGGUCAAUUUAGGAGACAUAGAUUGUGACCAUAAAUAUUAAAGAGGAGGAUUCUUUUUGACACUGAGAUUUUUCUGCAGUGCUACAGUGGAGGAAACAUCCAUAGACAUCGUGGACAUUAUUUAGCUCCUGGGAUGAGAAGAGAGCCUGCUGUUGCUGAACAGGCGAUGAGAAUGCAUUGUGCUUUUUUCUUUGGGAAUAUUUGAAUAUCUCCUCGAUGCUGAAACCAGAUCAAAAAUACAGAUUGUGAUAGCAAAGCGGUCUGAGUCAUGAGCUCAUGUGAGGACAGUCAUUGGCCCUUUCCUCUGUCAAAUUAGACUGUUGUGGUUAGGUAUAAAAGGUGGGGUUUGCAACAGUUUUUCCUAAAACUUUAUUUCGUAGUUCUGUAAAAAUGGUUAUAUUGGAUGCUUUCUAAGAAUAAUAUGCUUGUGAACUGAAAGAUACAUGCUGUAAAAAGUCAGGCAGUUCUAUGACAGUAGCAUAUAUAUAAGAUAUGGGGAUUUCCAAGAAGUAAAAUUUAGUUUUUUGGGUUUUUUUAAAUCAGUACUGGGGAUUGAAUUCAGGGCCUUUGCACUGAUCUGUAUCCCCAUACCUUUCUCUUUUUAACUUUUUACUUUGAGACAGGGUCUUAUCAAGUCCCCGAAUUGCCUACGCUGUACUAAAACUUGCAAUCCUCCUGCCUCAGCCUCCCAGAAUACUGGGAUUACAGGUGUGCACCACCAGAUGGCCAAAUUUGACCAUAGAAUGGCAGUAAUCACUGAGCUCCCCUUAAAUAUAAACUACAAAGAUUCCAUUUAUAUUAAUUGGGCCUUAAAGUAAUGACUUCGUACAAAUAAAAACAACUAGUUAACAUCAUAGGCCUGAAUUUGAGGAAAGAAGGAAGAUAGGUUUGAAGAUGACAAAAUUUUUCCAACUUGGGGCCCAGAGGGAAAUUGUUCAAAGCAAAACAGCACUACUGUGUGGGGAACAGGGAAAGGGGACAUUACCUCUGAAGUGAGUCCUAGUCUUCUGCGAGCCACAGGAGCACAAGGUGAAUUAACUUAUUAUUACAGGAAAGGUAGACAAAAUGAGACUGAGAAGAAGCUGAGCUUUGGGCCUGAUCAGUGCUGCUCUGGGCAGCAAAGACAAAAGCCCCUGAGCUUGCAGCACCUUUUAUUCAGUCCAUCGGGAGAAACAGAUGUAACAGAUGACUGGAGAGCGGGUGGAAUUCCUAGAUCAAGGAGGAGCUAUGCAGAUGAAGAUUUUGUUCCUCCCAGGGUGUCUUCUGCUGCUGUAAUCUGGUCCUGGAGCAUCACAGCAUCACCAGAUCAUUGAGGUCUCAGUUGUGACCAAAGGCCAAAAUGGAAUUAUGUCUCAAAAUGCCAUAGCUGGCCUGUGGGCAUGAGAACUAGGCCUAAUCAAAUGAUUUUUCUCCAAUAUUAUGUAGUAUUGCUCCCGACACUACUGAAACAUUUUCACCAAACAAUAUUCACCCUUACUAUAUUACCUGCAUACUUUAGGCCCCUCCCUCCCCAGUUCUGGUGGGGACUGAUUCCAUGAACCAUAAAAUAAGUGCAGUGAUCUGCACUUUGAAGAAACCAUCAGUAGGGGGAUCCACAGUUCUAUACCACCCCAAAGUGAUGGUGACUUGCUAAUUGGCAAAGCAAAAAUACACUCACAAUUCCGUGUGAGUAGGCAAUAUAAUCAAAAAGCUGUACUUGGCCUAGAAUUGGGAGAUACUACAAGACUGUAGGAAAGUCACUUCAUUGUUCCAGCGUGAUUCCAGUUUCCUCCUUGUUGAAGUACUGUAAUGAAACCUUUUCCGAAUGUUUAUCUUUGUAAAAAUACACUCAAGUUAUAGGUUUCUUAUUCCAGCCUGAAUAAUCUUAUACAUAUUAUGAAAUAAUAUCAGGAUUUUAACUUAAAAUCAAUCUGGUAUUCAAAAUAUACCCUGAACCCUGUCAGUAAUUAUUAACAAUGAAACUGACAGGUUUAAAAGUUAGGAAACCUCUCGGUUCCUCUAGGAAGCCACAGUAAAAACCCAUCACACUUCCCACCUUUAACUUUUGCUCUCUCAGAUUCCAUAUUUGAACAAUUCUUAGCUCUUGUCCAGCAAUGCUAAGGGAAAGAAAGAUUAAAUUAUCUGCGAAUUAUAUCACAUCGAUGUCUACAUUUUAAGCAUUUUUCCUACCUUGUUGUGGUGAUCUAUACCCCAUUAAACAGAAUUCCCCUGUCCAAGAGACAAAUUGGUAUCACAAAUCACCCAGAAUUAAAGAAAUCACAAAUCACCCAGAAUUUACAGGAAAACCUAUGAUUUCAACGUCAUGCGUUUUUCUCAGUGAAUCCAUUUUAGUGGCUGGUGGUGAGAAAGUUAAAUAGUAAUAGUUUAGUAGUAAUUACUUGCCCUAUCUGUCUAAAAAGGAGGAGGACAACCUGAAGAUUGAAUGUAUAACUCACAAUUUAAGUGUGGAAAAUUGCACAAUCUUUCAGUUUGUAUACCAUUGAUAAAUUCAAAUUUGAAGCCCACCGAUAUAGUUGACUCCUCUAGAAAAGAUGGAACUCUCCAUAGCUAUCUUCCAGUGUUUGGUGGCUGUGACUGGCUAUGACUAGCCAUGGGUAAAGGUCAGGGAGUUUAGAGCUAUUCUCAAAUAGUACAAUCAUAGGGAAUUAAUUCUUGCUUCAAUGUUAGUCCAAAGACUUUUCGUUGUGUUACCAUCUCUCUGUUGGUAACUUUAAGGCCUACUGUGCCAGUUUGGCCAUAAGAUCCCCAUUUACACAUACCAGGUUAUAUCUUUGCUCACAAUUUAAACACUAGUGAAGAUCUCUUGUCCUAGCUACUCUUCUCACUGCUGAGACAAAAUAUCCGACACCUAAAGUUAAAGGAGGAAAGUUUUAUUAGCUCACAGUUCAUAGUUGGCUUGCUCCAAGGCAGGGUGACAUGGUACAGGGCCAUCACAGAGGAGAAACACUUCAUGGCAGGCAGAAGGCAGCAAGGCAGCAAAAGCAAACAAGGCUCUUUCUGUCCCAUAUUAUCUUAUCCACUUGCAAGGCAGGCACCAGAACCACUGAGCUAAAUCCCCAGCCCAAUUUUUCCUACUCUUAACCUCUGUUGUUCCUAGAAUUCAUUCUUCGAUUUUAGAGAACACAAACUCACAUUUUGGAUAUCUAGCAGGUUGAGAGUUAUAAUAUUUUACAUGUUUAGAUUAUUUUUGCCUGUUUGGAUUGCUUGCUACCUUGUAUCAAUUUUGGAUUACUUGGUGCCCUAUAUCAGACCUCUGACCACACAAGGCUUUGGGGGGACAUUAGACACAAGCCAUAGCAUCUCUGUUCACUGGUUUGAAGGCAGGAAAAUGCUACACAAAAAAGCGGGAAUGACAAGCCUUGAAAUGGUGGCACAAGGAUUAUAGAGUGUCAUUGUGUUUUAAAGGAGUUGUGUUGAAAGACCUUUAACAUUUCCAGUAACUAGUUUGAGCAUGCAGAAUUUGAAACAUAAAAAGGCUGAACUUCACAGGCCUCAAAGAGGAAAACACACACUUUUUACAGUUGGUUCUGAGUCUGCCUCUGGACACACGAUUGUCUUGCUCACGGCACCACUUGCUUUUCUGAGUACCGCUCUCGUCAGUGUUGAUCUUGGCAGCUUGGGACACCAAGGUCUCCUCUAGCAGGUGACUAACCUCCCUGUGUUCCUCAAACACCGGGGCUGUCACAAGUGCUUUGCGUACAUAGUCUCAGCCUCAAGACAACCCAUGAGGGAGAAAUGAGCUCAGAAGAAACUGGGCUCCAAGAUGCUUUGAUUAACCAUGUAACCUUCAUGAAUAACAGUCCCAUGGCAGUCCAGAGCAGCCGAUCAGUUCUGGUCCCUCCUGGCUGCUCUCUGCCCUUCCUCCCUGCACAGCUCUUCCGGAAGUUCCUGUCAGGAUGGUUCAGGAAGUUCACUGACUAGAAGUUCCUGUCAGUGACCACGAAGGCAGAAUUUGUACCACUGUUAGAGUUGGGAGUCCUUUAUAUUGUGGUACCACUGCACUUUGUUAGUUCUUUUUCUACUCUCUGUAAUGUACCCAUUUCCUAGCCCUCUACUUCAACAGUUUCUAAAUAGCUUCAUUAGGUAAGGGGGCACUGCCCUCCUUUGGGUACCUACUGAAUUUGCCCAAGAAAGUUGGAGGACUGAGGGAAGGGGACCUGAAUUGGCACCCACCAUAGGGCCGGAGAUUUAGCUCAGUGGUUUUGCUGCCUGCUGCGCAAGCGCAAGGACCCAAGUUCAAUCCCCGGUACCAAAAAAAAAAAAAAAAAAAAAAAAAGAAUUGGUACCCACCGCCAUCAGGCAUGAUGAGAGGGAGAGAACAGUAAGAGGGGCAAAGACAAGAAUACAUAAAGUUUAUCUAAAUAAACUUCUUUGCUAACAUACAGGACAGUCAAAAGUAUUCCAUGUGUGCACACAUACUCUCCACCUCCCUCUCCCUGGAAAAGCUGCCCUUCACUUAUCAGAAAGCAAAGUAUCAAUUGCUUUUAAACCCAUGACUGCUUUCUUUGAGUACUGCAUGACAUUUUUCCAGUCCUUCCAUUCUUAUUGUUGGUCCCAUACAGGUGCAUGGCUCAGCACUCAGAAUUAUCUGGUCCUAGGGCAAAGGAUUGAGUUUACUGUCUCAAAGAAUAAAAUACUUGCUCACCAAACCAUAGAGAGUGCUAACUUAUGAUCUGUAAUUUGUUACAAAAUGACUGGCAUUAGUCCAUAAAUAAGCUAAUUCAUUGCUAGUAGAGAACAAAUCACACACGUUCCUUUGCUCUACCCAUUCCCAACUGUCUAUCCUAAGUAGAUGCAGGCCAUGUAUUGGAUAUUAAACAUACGUGCAAAUGUCCACACAAAUUUAUCUUCUUUUCAGAGAAUACCCAGCUAGGUCCCCAUGUCACUUGUACUUACAAAAACAAUAGGACCAUACCCCACCCCACUGCAAUAACCUAAAGACUAAAAGCCACAAACAUAAUUGAAAACUCAGUCUCACAUGUAGAUAAUCCACCACACAAAAUAACGUUCUCAAGGUAAGUAGGGAGAUUGGAGAGGGAAGCUGGGCUUUUGGUGGAAGAGGACAGAAACAGGAUGUAGGUGGGACACAGGUAUUUCCUGUGCAAGAUAGUGGCACUGGUGUAAGGUUUGGUUCUGGCAGACGCCUUUAAAAUAGUUCUCAUCGUCAGAUAUACACGCAUGAGAUCCCCUCCCUCACAAACUUCUUGCUUUGUUAUCAUUUUGGUUAGGGCUUGACCGAAGUGACUUCAUUUUGAUUCUGAAAACUUUUACAUAUUCAGUUAUUUAAAGCCAAACGACAGCGCUGGACUGCAAGCACUAAACUCCCAAAAGGCAUUUUCUAAACCAUUUACUGUUUGCACGGUAUGGACUGUGAAAAUGUCCCCCCGGAGAAGAAACAGUGCGUUGGGUUCAUGGCAUGGAUUUCCUCCCCUUUCGCAUUGAUGUCGUCCUUCCGUCCACUCCGUUUAUCCUGGCCCAUGGACCGGAAGUGCCCUAGGGGCCACGGUUGUGUCCUCCCUGCACCCUGGGUCCUUGGCUGGGACCAGAGUCAUCCGGCUCACUUUCUAGAACGCACCUGACACAGCUUGCUUGAUGCCCUCACAGCACGGCGGCUGGCUUCCUCAGAAAGACUGGCCCAAGAAGAAAAGGGAGCGGACCCAAGCCUCUUAGGACGCAGCCUCGGAAGUCACACGGGCCGCUUCUGCCUCGAGCCAGCCAGCACACGUGGUCAACACGUCGGCCCGGCUCAGAGAGGGGAGUGACCUGACGCUCCACCUGUUAAAGGGAAAUUCAUCGCGGAAUUAGUGAGCAUUUAAAACAUCACCACACCUCACUCCUAUCCCGGGACUUGGAAUCAGGACCAGGACUAGGGUGGGACCAGCCUGGGGCCCAGGACACAACACUCCAGGAGGCCCUGGGUUUCGGGUCUCGCACAUCGAAAUAAAUUGUUUUGGAUACUGGUGUUUCCCCAAAAUUUACUCAAUUCUUUUAUUGGUGCUAGAAAUGCUUUUGUUACUGUUGUUUUUUGUUUGUUUGUUUGUUUUUUGGUACCAGGGAUCGAACUCUGGUCUUUGCGCCUGCGAGGCACGUGGCAGGCAGUGGAACCACUGAGCUAAAUCCCCGGCCCUACUGUUUUAUAUUUUAUAAAAUUCCAUCAAAUUACGUAGAUAAUCGUGCCACCUGGGAGUAAAAAUAGUUUUAACUGUCCCUUUUCAUGGCAAGUGCUAUUCUUUCUUCCUUCCUUGCCGACAACAGUGCAAUGGGAGACGGGACAGCUGGAUAUUCGGGUGUGAGAGGAUGGAUUUGCAACCUCACAAUGUGCACAGAAAUUAACUCAAAAUGGAUCAUAGACCUAAACAGGAGAG
rnacentral:lncRNA from 1 species